rnacentral:lncRNA from 10 species
CUUGUCUCAGCCUCCUGAGUAGCUGGGAUUACAGGCACCUGCCACCACGCCCGACUAAUUUUUGUAUUUGUAGUAGAGACAGGGUUUCGCCAUGUUGGCCAGGCUGGUCUCAAACUCUUGACCUCAGGUGAUCCACCUGCCUUGGCCUCCCAAAGUGCUAGGAUUAUAGGCAUGAGCCACCAUGCCCAGCCUAAAGUUGAACUUAUUAUAGCAUAACUCACAUGCAGUAAAAUUCAUUCUCUUUAGGUAUACAAUUCUAUGAGGUUUUGUUGUUGUUUUUUGAGAUAGUGUCAACACUCUGUCACCCAAGCUAGAGCACAGUGGCAUGAACAUGGCUUAUGGCAGCCUUGACCUUCUGGGCUCG